GUAGGUGAACCUGCGGAAGGAUCAUUCAUAAUAAGUGUUUUAUGGCACUUUUAAAAAUCCAUAUCCACCUUGUGUGAAAUGUCUGUCGCUUUUCUCUUUUUUCCUCGGAAAAAAACGAAGCGGCUCAACAUCAACUCAUUUUAAUUACUUUGUCUGAAAACUAUUAUGAAUAAACUAAUUCAAAAUACAACUUUCAACAACGGAUCUCUUGGCUCUCGCAUCGAUGAAGAACGCAGCAUCUGACUGACUC
rnacentral:misc_RNA from 1 species